GAUGAAGAACGUAGCGAAAUGCGAUAAGUAGUGUGAAUUGCAGAAUUCAGUGAAUCAUCGAAUCUUUGAACGCACAUUGCGCCCCUUGGUAUUCCAUGGGGCAUGCCUGUUCGAGCGUCAUCUACACCCUCAAGCUCUGCUUGGUGUUGGGCGUCUGUCCCGCCCCCGCGCGUGGACUCGCCCCAAAUCCAUUGGCAGCGUUCCUUGCCCCCUCUCGCGCAGCACAUUGCGCUUCUCGAGGGCGGCUCCGGGACGCGAUCCAGCAAGAUGACCACCGUCUUUGACCUCGGAUCAGGUAGGAAGACCCGCUGAACUUAAGCAUAUCAAUAAGCGGAGGA
rnacentral:misc_RNA from 1 species